rnacentral:rRNA from 1 species
GCGUGAAUGAUGAAGGCCUUAGGGUUGUAAAGUUCUUUUAGUAGGGAAGAUAAUGACGGUACCUACAGAAAAAGCUCCGGCUAACUCCGUGCCAGCAGCCGCGGUAAGACGGAGGGAGCUAGCGUUGUUCGGAUUUACUGGGCGUAAAGGGCGCGUAGGCGGACUAAUAAGUUGGGAGUGAAAGCCCGGGGCUUAACCUCGGAACUGCUCUCAAAACUGUUAGUCUUGAGUGAAGUAGGGGGUGAUGGAAUUCCUAGUGUAGAGGUGAAAUUCUU